ensembl:misc_RNA 7SK 7SK RNA
GGAUGUGAGGGUGAUCUGGCUGUGACAUCUGUCAUCCCAUUGAUUGCCAGGGUUGAUUCGGCUGAUCUGGCUGGCUAGGCGGGUGUCCCCUUCCUCCCUCACCGCUCCAUGUGCGUCCUUCCUGAAGCUGCACACUCGGUCAAACAGGACAACCUUCCCCAAAUAGAGGAGGACCGAUCUUCAGUCCAAGUUAUACAAGUAGCUGCACUCCCCUAAUAGAACCUCCAAACAAGCUCUCAAGACCUUCUACUCAUUCACUUACUUAGCUAGAUACUACAAGCACAGAGACUUGGGAAAACUAAACUAUUUCCACAACAUUGGAUUCCGCUUCCUGGCUGCUAGCCCUUCGCUAUGU